GGUGAAGGAUCCUUCGCCAGUGGAGUCAGGAUUGAACUCCCACCGCCCUUCACUGGAGAAGGCAAGUAAAGUUUCCCCUGUUGGGCCGCCAAUAUGAAGUGGUUGUGAAAGCGCUAAUGGGAGGCAUCGGAGGUGACUGUGAUUAUGAACUGGUGGGACUUUUGCCAACAUGGCUGACCAAGGCUGCUUUCCUCCUGUGGGACAGCCUGCCAGCAGCUUUUCAUGCUGAUUAUUCUGCAGUUAAAGCAAAGCUGCUCGAGGCUUUUGGACAGAGACAUUUUCUGCAGGUUCCUGGUGGGGCUCGAUCCAACUCUGCAAGCUAAAUGUCAUGAGCAGGGGGCUACUGACCUUGAAGAGGCCCUGGGGCCUUAUGUAUCAAUACUUGCGUGGAACUCAUACCAGAAACGAGCGCACGCGAGGUCCGUCACGCUGAAAAAAAUCUGUAUGUAUCAAUGUGUGCGGGCGCCGAAAUCCAUGUGUGUUUCCUUGAUAAAUCCCAAUCAGCGUGGAAUUGAGCGCAGAUGUCGGAGUGACUGGGCCCAUCCCCGUUACGCCCUCCUAUAAAUAUGCAGAUUUAUUUAAUUAGGGUCUCCCUGUCCUCGCACGCAGACAAAAUGACAAGAAAAACUAAAUUUACGGCAUGCGAGGUGGAGGUGCUGGUGGCGGAGGUGGAGGAGCGACAGCGUGUUUUGUUUGGCAGCCUAUCCAGUGGCUUCAGUGCAAAACAAAAACGCUUGGAGUGGGAGAAAGUUUGCGAGAGGGUGAAUGCGGUGGGUUCCGAGACACGCACCCCCGCGAAGAUUAAAAAAAAGUGGUCGGACCUCAAGGUGGAGGUCAAGCGGCGUACAGCUGCCCUCCGGAGGAGUACUGGCCAGACAGGUGUGGGUCCGGGGGAGGAGACCCUCACACCGUUUGAGCAGCGGGUGGUGGCGAUUAUUAUUAUAGGGUAAGUGGCGUGUCACACAAAUGUCCACAUGCUUUGUCAUCCCACUGAGCAAAAGACGUAUAUUAGACGUCUAGUCUAAGUUUAUACUUCAUUUCAACGUCGGGAUUCAGUCUAUUUUUAGACGUGAUUUAUACUUCGCCCUUAACUUCAUUUUUCGAUAACUUUUUAUGCAAUAAACAACUGUAAUGUGCAUAACUGACCUCGAAAUACUGGAUUACAUUACCUAUGAUACCGUGGAGAGAGAUGUAAACGCAACAGAUACACAGAAGCAGGAAUUGAAAUGAACAAAUAUUUUUAUUGUGUCACAGAAAUCAAUGUGUCGGCCGUGUCGGCGGCUUGCGGAACCCCGGCCCGCGGCAGCCCGUCCGCCGGCUCGGAGUCGUCGGCCAGGACCAGCGGCAUUCGGGCCAUCCCGGCCCCCGGCCCCAGCACCAGCACCAGCACCAGCACCAGCACCAGCACCAGCACCAGCAUCAGCAUCAGCGCGCCGACAAGCGGUGGAGCGUCCACCAGCCGCGGCGCCUCCGCUGGACCACCCGGACGCAGUGGAAGGGUCCUCGCGGAGGGGGUCCUGCAAUCGCAGGAAGAAAUCAUCAGGGGGAUCGCGGG